CGCGGGCUGUCUCACGUUGCGAUUACGUAAACAAACAGAUUUUUCGCGUGCUCGCCAAAUUCGAACAUGUGAAUGAUUUUGAGUCAAAAUCGAUUAGUUACAUUUGUUUUUUAUAAGAAGUAACGGGAUAACUUAAAACGAAUAUAGCACAUACUCAUAUGGAUUACUUUUUUUUUUGGAAUUUAUUUAUUCAUUUAUUUGAAUCAUGCUUCCAUCUGUCAUCCGGGUGUCUCACUGAUGAAAACACCAGUUUGAAGCUACAUCAGGCAUCCAUUCACUGCAGAGGAUUCAUUGCUGAGCAAGUGAUGGAAUGCUAAUUUCCUCCAAAUUAGUUCUGAUAAAGAAACAAACUCAUCUACAUCUCGGAUGACCUGAGGAUGGCCAGAGUGAGGCAAAUAUUAGAUCAACAUGUAUGGAAAUAUAUUAUUACAAAGAGAAGCUGUUACGCCGCAGACACCUCUUCAAGAGUCCAAGUGAGAUUUGUGAACCGCCGCUGCAAGGAAAAGGACCUCUGGUGUCAAGGUCAAACUUCUUUGGAACAAUAAAUUUAUUGUAAGUAAAACUUUGGAUUAGGCCUCCAUUGAGUGGUUGACCAGUAUCCAUCCAUGGUUUAAAAUCCAGCCUGACCAACUUAAGAAAUGCAUGGUAAGAUCAGCUGGUAGCUGGAACUGAAGCAGUUUAAGAUGAAUUUUCCAUCAAGGUGAACAUCUUUGAAGUUAAAGAAACCGCAUUAUCAAGGUCUUGGCAGGGACGUACCCCAAAGUCUGGAAUUUUUUCCCAAGAUGUAUAUAAUAAAGGUUGUGAAAUAGUUGGCAAAUAUUUAAUAAAUGUACCCAGCUUUCCUGGUAGCCUUCAGUAAAUUCACUUGUCUAAGAAAAG
ensembl:lncRNA